rnacentral:rRNA from 1 species
AUGCCUCGCCUUUUUCUCCUCGUUCUUCUUUCUCCUCCUGUAUCCAUCUCCCUCUCUCAGCGCACUCUCUAUGCCCUUGGACAGGGACCCCGGAGACCACAUGGAUGGCCGACCCUGUCGUCACCUUGCACCUCUCCGCCUUCGCGCCGUGGCAGGAGCAGCCGCCUGACCUCCUCCAUCGCGCGCCCCUCCCCCAUGGAGUGCCACCUCGUCCCCCGCCUCUCCACCACCUGCAGGUCACCAGCAGGGAACCGUCGUCACGUCGCCGGCAAGCUUCGAGGUGAGCACCGCCUAGAGCUCAUCCGCCCGGAGACAUUCUUCAUCUUGUCUCCGUCGCUGGAGCCCAUCCCCAAGUCCCUCGUCGGGCUCCAUUUUUCCCUGCCGCCGCGCCUCUGUUCUGUCUCCUGGUGGAGGAGAUGA